GAUGAACGCUGGCGGCGUGCCUAAUACAUGCAAGUCGAGCGAACGGACGAAACGCUUGCUUCUAUGCUGUUACCGGCGGACGGGUGAGUAAUACGUGGAUAACCUACCUAUAAGAAUGGGAUAACUUCGGGAACCCGGAGCUAAUACCGGAUCAUAUUUUGAACCUCAUGGUUCAUAAGUGAAAGACCGUCUUGCUGUCACUUAUAGAUGGUACCAGGCUGGAUUAGCUAGUUGGUAAGGUAACGGCUUACCAAGGCAACGAUGCGUAGCUGACCUGAGAGGAUGAUCAGCCACACUGGAACUGAGACACGGUCCAGACUCCUACGGGAGGCAGCAGUAGGGAAUCUUCCGCAAUGGGCGAAAGCCUGACGCAGCAACGCCGCGUGUGUGAUGAAGGUCUUCGGAUCGUAAAACUCUGUUAUUUGGGAAGAACAGAUGUGUAAGUAACUGUUCACGUCUUGACGGUACCUAAACAGAAAGCCACGGCUAACUACGUG
rnacentral:rRNA from 1 species